rnacentral:rRNA from 1 species
AAGGAAUAUUGGUCAAUGGACGGAAGUCUGAACCAGCCAUCCCGCGUGCAGGAUGACUGCCCUAUGGGUUGUAAACUGCUUUUAGCAGAGACGAAACGCCUUUAUUUAUGAGGGUCUGACGGUAUCUGCAGAAUAAGCACCGGCUAACUCCGUGCCAGCAGCCGCGGUAAUACGGAGGGUGCAAGCGUUAUCCGGAAUCACUGGGUUUAAAGGGUGCGUAGGCGGAUAUUUAAGUCAGUGGUGAAAUCUUGUCGCUUAACGAUAAAAUUGCCAUUGAUACUGAAUGUCUUGAAUUGGGUUGAGGUUAGCGGAAUGUGACAUGUAGCGGUGAAAUGCAUAGAUAUGUCAUGGAACACCAAUUGCGAAGGCAGCUAGCUGGGCCUUGAUUGACGCUGAGGCACGAAAGCGUGGGUAGCGAAC